rnacentral:lncRNA from 1 species
GGCAAAAAAAAGUUUAAAAUGUUAUCCGCAUGCCAAUGACGUGGCAGACUUAGGAAACAUUUAGCCUUAUAGAUCUGAAAGCUAAUUGGAUAGGAGAAUGAACAAUGAAAAAUUCCUCACAACUUUUCCUCAGCUGUUUCAUCUUCCUUUUCUAGUUUCUCGGUUCAGCUGAGGUUUUUCAUGGGUUGCUUCCCUUACUCUAAAGGUACCUUUUGUUGUUUUCGGUAGAGCGGCUUCUCCGGCGAUGGUUCUUGCUUUGCCAAGAGUCUAGUUAUUUUUUUUUUCUUGGUUUAUUAUUGCAGAUCUUGGGGUUUAAAAGAGAUGGUGUGUUCGUAGAUAUGGAGGCGAAAGCUUUCUUUGCUCGGACGAAGUCUUAGCAUGUGUUCUGUGGUGGGACCUCUUGGGACAUCGACGGCCAAACAAUCAUGUUUUGGCUUCUCCUAAGGCUACAAGAGAGGAGACGCCGACAAGAGUCGCCCCACACCUCCUGAAACUGUGCGUUACCAAGCCAAGUUUGACUGGCAUACAGCUGGUUUGGGUGGUCCCAGUUCCUUAAUUAUGGCUUGUUUUCCUUCAAGUAUUGAAGGAGUUCUAUGAGGAUGUGUGUGAAUCCUUCUAACCCGAUGCUGUUUGAUUUUUGUUGGGUUUGGUUUAUUGGCGAAGAUAGUGGUUGUCCGGAACAAUGCUGCUUGACAUUUCGAGAGUUUGGGUUGGAUUGGUUUUGGAAGGGUUUUAUUUUUUUUUUGGGAUCAGGCCGUAUGUUUUUGGUAUCGUUCCUUGCUCUCUCUCUACUGUAUCUGUCGCUAAUUUUCUCCAUAAAAUAUGAAUAACGUUAAAAAACAAAAGAAGUACCAAUGAAUAUAGCUUAUGACUUUAUCUAGGAAAAACAAAAUACACAAAUAAUAGAGAAAUUGACAUUGCACGACUUUUCUUCACUCAGAAACAAACAUACGAAUUAUACCCUAAACAUAAUUCUUUAAUGUAUGGGAAGCAAUUGUUUUUUGAAUUUUAUUCAUUUUACUUGCCAUUUCAUCAGAAAGUGAAACAUCAAAGUAAUUGCAAGAUGAAGAUGCCAGUAACAUUAAUAUUACAUAUUUGCAGUUUUCUAUAUAGGAGCAUAUAAUACAACGGCAGUCAAAGAGGGUGAAGCAUGAAACUAAACAUGUAUUCAUACAUACAGCAUUUCAAACAUUCUUGUUUUCCUAAGGCUUAACUACUGAGUCGUCCUUGAAAGAAUAAAU